rnacentral:rRNA from 1 species
GUGAACGCUGGCGGUAGGCCUAACACAUGCAAGUCGCACGGCAGCACAGUAAGAGCUUGCUCUUACGGGUGGCGAGUGGCGGACGGGUGAGGAAUACAUCGGAAUCUACUUUUUCGUGGGGGAUAACGUAGGGAAACUUACGCUAAUACCGCAUACGACCUACGGGUGAAAGCAGGGGAUCUUCGGACCUUGCGCGAUUGAAUGAGCCGAUGUCGGAUUAGCUAGUUGGCGGGGUAAAGGCCCACCAAGGCGACGACCCGUAGCUGGUCUGAGAGGAUGAUCAGCCACACUGGAACUGAGACACGGUCCAGACUCCUACGGGAGGCAGCAGUGGGGAAUAUUGGACAAUGGGCGCAAGCCUGAUCCAGCCAUACCGCGUGGGUGAAGAAGGCCUUCGGGUUGUAAAGCCCUUUUGUUGGGAAAGAAAAGCAGCAGGUUAAUACCCCGCUGUUCUGACGGUACCCAAAGAAUAAGCACCGGCUAACUUCGUG